UAUCGGAACGUACCCAAGAGUGGGGGAUAACGUAGCGAAAGUUACGCUAAUACCGCAUACGAUCUAAGGAUGAAAGCAGGGGAUCUUCGGACCUUGUGCUCCUGGAGCGGCCGAUAUCUGAUUAGCUAGUUGGUGAGGUAAAGGCUCACCAAGGCCACGAUCAGUAGCUGGUCUGAGAGGACGACCAGCCACACUGGAACUGAGACACGGUCCAGACUCCUACGGGAGGCAGCAGUGGGGAAUUUUGGACAAUGGGCGAAAGCCUGAUCCAGCAAUGCCGCGUGAGUGAAGAAGGCCUUCGGGUUGUAAAGCUCUUUUGUCAGGGAAGAAACGGUUCGGGCUAAUAUCCUGAGCUAAUGACGGUACCUGAAGAAUAAGCACCGGCUAACUACGUGCCAGCAGCCGCGGUAAUACGUAGGGUGCAAGCGUUAAUCGGAAUUACUGGGCGUAAAGCGUGCGCAGGCGGUUUUGUAAGUCUGACGUGAAAUCCCCGGGCUCAACCUGGGAAUUGCGUUGGAGACUGCAAGGCUAGAAUCUGGCAGAGGGGGGUAGAAUUCCACGUGUAGCAGUGAAAUGCGUAGAGAUGUGGAGGAACACCGAUGGCGAAGGCAGCCCCCUGGGUCAAGAUUGACGCUCAUGCACGAAAGCGUGGGGAGCAAACAGGAUUAGAUACCCUGGUAGUCCACGCCCUAAACGAUGUCUACUAGUUGUCGGGUUUUAAUUAACUUGGUAACGCAGCUAACGCGUGAAGUAGACCGCCUGGGGAGUACGGUCGCAAGAUUAAAACUCAAAGGAAUUGA
rnacentral:rRNA from 1 species